UGUCGCUGCCGUCUUCAAAAUAUUCAAGACGCUGACUUCAAAGACGUGUCAGCUCCUGUUGCGGCAAUUCUUAGUUUAUAAGCAAGAAUAUCAUUCUUGGCAGGGAUAAAUCUCUAUUCUUGGUUUAUAAGGUAUAGCCGACAUUUGUAAUCAGCCGUCGCUACGUGGUGUCGUGUCGUCGUCUUUGUGUUCAGCACUUGACUUCGAUUCGUAUUUCAUCUGGCGACCUAUUUGACAAAGGUCCAUGCUAUUUGAUUGGGUUGCGCUGCAGAUAGACACACUGUAAAAGUAUGAUCACUAUAGUAUAUGUAAAAUUAUACGAAAUGUCCAAAUAGUGUAGAUAAAAAAUUAUAAAGGAUUCUUUUGAAACUUUAUAUGAAAGAAAUAGUGACAGCACCAGUCAAAAUAAACAACACAAAUUAGACGUUCCAUCAUAAACAAAAUGAGUUGAACAACUUCAAGACUACGUUUGUUGGAACAAUGCAUGCAUUAUGUAUGAUUACCGUAUGUGCGGUAAAAAUAUUAGAACAAUUAUGAACCUUAACUCUCAAAUAUGUCAGCAGUGAGUUUUAAAAUACUCGGACAACUAUACUUAAAACCAACCCACCGUAAUAUCAUAUACUAUAUAUUACAUACUUCACCUUUUUCACAAAUUAAUUACAAAUUUUCAAUGGACUUUUAAUAAACUUUUAUUGAAGUUACGUUUUAUGCUGCAUUACCACAAAUAAUUGAUAAUAAUAAAUUUACAACUUCAACUUUGUGCGCCUCCAGUGGCGUCUCUUCGCAUUGUAUCUGUAAAAAAUAAUAUAAACAUUUUAAUUUUAAUACAUUUUCACAAGCGUUGGAUAGUGUGCAAAAAAAUUUCCAACUUUAAUGCAUUUUUACCUAAUAGUAUUUCCAGUACGUAAACGUAUCCAUUGAGGAACCGAACGGUUCUGCUUUAGCUUUUUAGCAAGCUUUUGUUUAAUCCUGAAAGAUUUAUGCGCCGCCUGAAACAAUAGAGAAUUAGUAACUCAAGUAUAUAUAUCUAUCCUAUAAAUAUGAAUUGAUGUAUAAAAUUUAAGCGGAUUGAUCACUAACCAUUCUGUGCACUUUGCCUCACAAGUAAGAAAAGAAAGAAAACACUUUUUGACAGUUAGUACAUAGUUAUUAUAACAUGUUUUUAUCGAUAAUUUAGUGUUGCCACAUUGAUUUUAUGUCAUGAUGAAUAUCUGGCUUGCUGUAGUUGUUUGUCGCAUUUUACCAUUGGGAAUGGUCUAAGUUCUGUCAAACAAAACAUUGACGUAACCGGCGAUAGCAAUUUAAUGAGGAAUGGGCGCAAUCUCUCUUGAACGAAUUCAACUGGACAUCUAUGUUUUUGGUUUUAAACGUAAAAUUUUUAACAUGAAAACAACGCCCAAAGCCAGCGAGCAGUGAAAUUGCAAAUCGAAGGCAGUAUAUAUAAGAUUAGCAGGCAUCGAUUGACUAAACGUUAUAGAGAAGCCAAUAGAACGCACUAUCCCGUAAUUCAAACAGACAGGCAGCACUUAUAGUGCAAGCCUGCGAUAAUAUGUCCUCUUAUUCAUGCGCAAUAGUGCAGCAUUUUAUUAGGUGGAGAAAACAGAAAAAUAUUUUUUAUCCC